ensembl:lncRNA
AAUGCUAACUUUUAUUUAAUUUUUUACAAUUUGCAUUGUCAUUGCAUACAUAGAAUAAAUGUUUUGUUUCAUUGUGACUUUUGUCCAGUUCUACCCAUAUACAACAUUGCCAUUGCAAAGCCAUAGACAACGAUGCAUUAUGACCAUGGAUUUAUUUUGUUACAGCAGAUGAUUCCUCAAAAAACAAACAUAUGUUGAUAAGUCUGCAAUCCUGACAACCAUUAUGUAUAUUUCAAACAUCCGAUCUUUACCAGUGCAAAUUAAUAAAAAAAUAAUAUAUACAAUAGCAAUUGAAUGAAAGUAUCACUCCUAGCAAAUCAGAGAAACACUCAUAUUUCAGUAAUAAAGAAAACACUGAUAAAAAAAUAAUUCUAAAUGAAUACUGCUAAAUCUAGUACAAAGAUCAUUCUUAGUGCAAUUUCAUUUAUACACCACCAUAUAUUUUCCUCUUGUAGUUAUAGCUACAGGUGCUACUUACCAUGAUGCAGCCUAUGACACAGUUACUUUCUACAUUCCAAUGGUCAUUGAUGUAUUGCACCCUUGUGAAUUUUCACAACUGUAAUAUUGCACAGUAUAGUAUUAUCAGUUCAAAGGGAAGAUUGGCAAGACCUGGGCUGUUUUCCAUGUGGAUGUGUCCUCCACAGUCAAAGGCAGUGCAUUGAUGUUUCUUCAGAUUCUAAUGGAUUCUAAGAAAUCCCAUAUUAUCUGAGGAAUAUUGGAAUAUGUCAGCAGCUGCCUCCAACAAACAAGGUUUUUACAAGGUUUUGAAAAACACUAAAAUUGUGGUGUGACAACAGCUGUUAGGCGGCCAGGUCUACCUACUGAUCUUUUUUUUGUUGCAUUUGGGUAAUGUGUGAAGUUCACACAUUGGUAGACAGUUCUUGAUGCAGGUGACAUUUUAAAGCAACUUGUGUCUUCUAUUGAUGUGUCCGACCAGUUUGAUGUCUAACAAAAUCAUAUGAACCUGCUCAGAUCAUUGAGAAAGAGGGUGGGGGUUAUUUCCCAUCUCCUACAUCAUCAUUCCAUGAACGCACCCUCUGGAGUUUGAAUAAAAUCGAUAUAAUCCCAAUGUGGGAUUUGGCCUGUCUCUGAAACAAAUGGAGGCUCUAGAGAGGCUCUUCGUCUGUCCUGAAAUCAAACCUUACAUUCCCCUUAACCAGCACUAAAAACAUGGGAAGGACAGAAUGUUUAUCUAUAAUAAUUCAUCUUAUACUAGUCAGAAAAAUUGAAAAGAGGGAUGUGGUAGAAAGCUAGAUGGAUGGAAGAAUAAAGUCACUUAAAUAGAUGGACACGGAUUUAGUGACACUAGAACAUCUCCUUCCUCCCUGUUUAGCGAGUCUACAUGUUGAUCUUAUCCUCUCUGUUUAGCGAAUCUACAUGUUGAUCUUAUCCUCUCUGUUUAGCGAGUCUACAUGUUGAUCUUAUCCUCUCUGUUUAGCAGGUCUACAUGUUGAUCUUAUCCUCUCUGUUUAGCGAGUCUACAUGUUGAUCUUAUCCUCUCUGUUUAGCAGGUCUACAUGUUGAUCUUAUCCUCUCUGUUUAGCGAGUCUACAUGUUGAUCUUAUCCUCUCUGUUUAGCGAGUCUACAUGUUGAUCUUAUCCUCUCUGUUUAGCGAGUCUACAUGUUGAUCUUAUCCUCUCUGUUUAGCGAGUCUACAUGUUGAUCUUAUCCUCUCUGUUUAGCGGGUCUACAUGUUGAUCUUAUCCUCUCUGUUUAGCGAGUCUACAUGUUGAUCUUAUCCUCUCUGUUUAGCGAGUCUACAUGUUGAUCUUAUC